UUUCCGUAGGUGAACCUGCGGAAGGAUCAUUACUGCAUAACCGAGGUGCGAGGGCUGUCGCUGACCCGAAAGGUCGUGCACGCCCGAGUGCCCUCACACACAUCCAUCUCACCCCUAUGUGCACCACCGCGUGGGUCCCCCUUUGGCUUGUUCGGAGGGGGGCUUACGUUUUCACACAAACUUUGUAUGCAGUGUAGAAUGUAUUUUUUGUUUUUGCGAUCACGCAAUCAAUACAACUUUCAACAACGGAUCUCUUGGCUCUC
rnacentral:misc_RNA from 1 species